rnacentral:lncRNA from 1 species
CUCUCUUUCUCUCCCUCGAUGACUCCCCGUUUCUGUCGUGAUCUUCCCCCGUCGAUGAAGACUCAGCCUCUGUCUCGUGAUCUUCACCGACGAUGAAGACUCCGCCUCUGUUCUCUCUCUCGGUGGAUCUCCUCGGUUGUCUGCGAGGAAAUCAAAUCGAAAGGUAAACGUUUGUAUUAUUCUUUUUAUGUUUGAAUCCUUCUUUGUUAUUUGAUUUGUUUGUUGUCUCAGUUACUAGUGAUUAAUUUGUGUUUGUCUCUAUUUGUGUUUCUUAAGAUGAAAUUAUCAACAGACAUGAAGGUUCGUUAAAGAAGAUGACUACAACCGCAAAAAAGGUAAAACAUAUAUCUUCAAAUUCAUAAAGAUAUGUCUCUGUCUCUUGUGUUUGUUUUCGAAAUGGAUUCAACGUUUUUUAAAGAGCUUUGUGUUUCAUUUGUUGGUCGUUUAUGAUAUAGAGUGAACGUUUUUAGGACUGUGGUCUCGUUUGCCUUGAUUGUCAUUUUAAAAAGCUCUGUGUUUUAUUUGUUUCUCAUUUGUUAUUUGCUUCUGUUUGUGUCUCUAUUGAGCUGCGUGGAUCAAGAGGCAAACGAGGAAGGAUCGUCAAAGCAGAGGAGUGCAUAAGCUAGAGCAUUGAACCCGUGUAAUAAACAUGUAAAUGUUUUACUUCUUUUAAAGUCAAUGAAAGCUUUAGGGUUGAGUUAGGUACGUAAAUGUUUUGGCUCUGUUGGCAUUGAACCCGUGUUGGCAUUGAAGUGAUUGUCUCUUUGAUGUGUUGAAAUGAAUAAAGGAUUGGUUAUGGUUGAGGAAGAGAGUUAAAUGACUUGCUUAGGGUUUGAUAAUGAAUUGAUUUGUCGAUGAUAAAUGACUUGCUUUGUCAUUGAUUAUUGUUGUGAAAUGGUAAUUAAUUUAAGUUAGAUACAUGUCAACUCGAAUCUGGUUGUUGUUAGUUGUUUUGAGUGUUGAAUGUUAUCGUUUAUUUCUCUAGUCUCUCUUCCUUCUUUAAAACUCUUUCCUUCCUUUUCAAUUCCAACAGAUUCCUAUCUGUUAUUUCUCUAGUCUUUCAAGGUUGACUUUGUAUUUUAAAAUGUUAUGUUUGAC